rnacentral:rRNA from 1 species
UACGUAGGGUGCGAGCGUCGUCCGGAAUUACUGGGCGUAAAGAGCUCGUAGGUGGUUUGUCGCGUUGUCCGUGAAAACUCACAACUCAAUUGUGGGCGUGCGGGCGAUACGGGCAGACUGGAGUACUGCAGGGGAGACUGGAAUUCCUGGUGUAGCGGUGGAAUGCGCAGAUAUCAGGAGGAACACCGGUGGCGAAGGCGGGUCUCUGGGCAGUAACUGACGCUGAGGAGCGAAAGCGUGGGGAGCAAACAGG